ensembl:lncRNA
AUCAUCGUAGCGUUGCUGUCAUGCUGCGAGCUCAGAAUAACAGCUUGUUUUUAGCUUUGUGAUGAUGCAUUUCACAGCUAAUCCAAGAGGCGUUUUAGUAGACUUUUUGCAAACACAUGAAGGAACACUAAAUCUUUCAGUAUAUCACAAACAUUGAAAUAAUCUAAAUCAAUGUAUCUGGAGAUAAAUGGUUUUCACUGGACAGGAAAAAUUGUAUGUGAAAUUUGCCCCAUAACAGUUUUGCAUAAUUUUGCACCCAUAUUGAAUAUUUUCACAUACACCGUAAACUAAAACUAUGUGUGUGAAGUCACAUACAAACAAGAAUUUCACAAGUGAAUUUUGACUUUUCAAAUUGGAAAUUGCAAACAUUCAUAUGCUCAUAAAGUCCUUUGUUUGUUUGCUUUUUUUUUUUUACAUGUGAAUUUAAACCACCUGUAGAUUGUAUAUAGAUUGUAGACAGUAUUUUUAUUUUCUGUGAUGCUGUGGUAAAGUAUGAAGCUGCAUUAAAUCAAAUGUGUAAGUACCUCAUAUUAGUGACAUUCCACCACUGCAUAGAUGUUACUAAUAACAUUUACUAAGGUCUGUUCUAACCAUGUGCUCCAGUUAGCCAUUAGAGUUUGAAAGUGAGUAAGCCUCAUUAUUUUCAUCAAUUAUACCUGAGCUUUUCUCCUGUCACAAGUCAAAAUGUCCUCUGAGUUAAAGGUCCCAUAUUAUGCUCAUUUCUGCUUCUUAACAUGGUUCCUUGAAGUCUAAAUGGAAUGUUAGUAACAUGCUUUGGUCGAAAUAAGCUGAAGGAUUGAGCACAGCAGGGUUCUUGAAACACCAGUUUCACAGCCCUGCUCCAGGUGGCCUGUUUCAGUGCCUUUCCCUUUAAAUGCUAAUGAGCUACUGCGCGCCGCCUACGGUGCCGCCCACUUCUUCCUGCCUGCGGAAGACGUGAGGACGGCAUCAUGUGACCAUGGCAACGGCGGAGUUUCUGGAAGUAAUGGCCGCCGGACAACAAGAGGCUCCAGAAGAAAGUUACACGAAGACUACAGCAGCUUCCUGAGCCACCAUCGUGCAUGGUGGACCCUCCUGGCCUGUAACCUGUCUGCCUGAAUGUAUCUGCACUGCAGAAUGCACUGAACAUUUAUCAGACAGACUAUGGACCUUUACGUCUGAGGGGAAUAGUGCAGUAAGCUUUUAGUCACAUAAAUACUAUUAAUUUAUCGCAAAAGUGUUAUGAUGAAAAGUACAUAACUGAUUCCUCUAUCUUACAUUGCUUGUGGUUCAUCUUUUACUUAUUACCAUAAAAAUUACAUAUCAAACAAUGAAAACACAGAACAGUCAGGAAAGAUGUUUUAUUGUAAGAAACAUAUGUAAACAUGUGUUGACAUGAAUGAAAUAAUAAUAAGAAAAUAAAUAUCUGAAGUGAAACAGUUUGACUUUAUAUAUUAACUUCAAUAUCAAUAUGAAAAUAAUAACAAAAAAAAGUAUCUAGUUGCCAUGGGUGUAAACAUUCAGUGCUGACUUUAUAUUGAAUUGUGUUCAGCCAAUAUAGCCUACAGAAGCUUUGUAAGCUGGUGCUGGGGCUCUCUGGGGUGGAGAGUGAGAGUUGUGCUGCCUGUCUUUGUGGUCCAAGAGGUCUUCAGAGAUUAUUAGUUUCAGCACCUCUUUCACAUAUGGGGCAGGGUUCUGGAAAACCUUCACGAGAGCGGAUCCAACAGUGCAUCACCUCAGUCUGCAAUGCAAUAAACAAAUAUGUAUGUUUACAGGAAAAUUGCAGUAGAACCAAAAAGCCUUGUGCUGCAGUGUUGUAAAGUUUC